rnacentral:lncRNA from 1 species
AAUACAAACCUUCGGAAUAACAAAGCUUUGGAAUUACGAAUGUAUGCGAGCAGACAGAUACAUUUUUAAUUGAAUUAACAAGAGAAUUUGAUUUAAUUGAGAAGUGACUGCAAUGCGGUUUACUGCAGCAUCGUGGAUGUCUGCAUUCAUUAAUAUAUUCUUUUGGCAUCAAUUUUACAUCGCAGCAGAAAUACAUCCGAGGGGGAAGGGGGGGUGGUGGUGGUGUUUCACAAAGAAUUAAGUCAUGCUUGAAUGCAUAUGCUCCAGAUGCAUAAUCCGACCAAUGUGGAGAGGGGAGGUAUACCACAUGCAGCUGAAAUUUAAGUGUAAUUCUUUGAGUCACGCUUAAUCUCUUUGUGAAACCACCCCUCCCCCGAUUCUCCAAGCGUAAACAUACAUGUACACACCACAUGAAAAUGUUAUCAAUUUAUUUGGGAGAAGGUACACUUCCAGGGGAAAUUUUAAAGCGUUGUGUUCAUGAUGUGGUUUUUUUUCAUCAAAUUGGCGAUUAUCUGAGGUGUUGAACAGCUUUUUCUGACUCACUUGGAAUAUUGAGAGUUUAUAAACAGAAGGCCUGAACUCCAAUACUCCUGACUCAGUUGUUCCAGAACCCGGUUAAUGCCAUCGGAUUUCAGGUAACACUUUUCUCAUUCCAGCGUUCCCACGAAACGAUGGAUUGCUGUAGAAUUAAUGCUGAUAUAUUAUAUCUUAGAAUAAAACUUGAGGUAUGCAACCGGUGUUCUUUUUUAUGAGAGGACAUGGAGUCUUCACAACAUUAUAUCAUGGAUGAGUGGUUUAUUAUAUCAUUAGAAUAAGCAGAAAAGAGAGAUGUUUGGGGGUAUGAUUUCAGUGUCCAAUGUGGACAGUUGAAUAUAUGUGACAUCUCAGGUUUUUUUUUUGGGGGGGGGGGGUAUUGCAUAGGAAGAUUUACUAGUGAUUUCAGCAUUCGAAUACUCAGCAUUUUUAAUUGCUUGUCCAAAUGUACUCAAACUUCCGUUGCUCUGACUUUUCUGUUUUCACACAAGCUAGCUUGCUCCAAGGGUUUCAUUCUCUUUUAAAGUGGUUGAAACCAGACUCUCUACACAUGCCUAACUCAUCAUUUUGGUACCAAAUUUACGCAAUUGUAAAGAAGAGAGUUAAGUCCUUCUGUUUGAAAACCUCAACAUGAAGAAAACCAUUUCUUUCUGAAGCUGGUAUCUUCUAUGUAUGUUACUAGUAAGAUAGAUAUUGUACAUGUUCAUUGAUAAAAGUGUCAUUUUAAGAGUUUUUCAUUCAUUCAUUGCCAUAUUUAGGAACAAAUUGUAUUUGCUUCAAAUUAAAUAAAAUGUACAUGUUAUAUCUUUGAAGGUUGAUACUAGAUCAAGUUUAGAUAUGAAUAUAUUUUAGUUACCAAAAGAGCGUUUCUGCAGGCAGGGACAAGAUAGAAAAAAAAGAUAUCUACUUUUUUGUUUUUUCUUCUCUUCUUUUUACUUUGGUAGGUUAAUUUAGUCUUAAUUCCAAGCCAUCUUGUCUGGAAAAAAAGAAUGGUAGCUUUACCUUUAUCUGUUUUCUGUAUAGACUAAGUCAAUAUCAUUAUUAAGGCCCCGUAACAUAAAGCUUUGUAAUCGAUCAUAAGGCUGAUAUCUAUGGUUGAUCAUACACAAUAAUCAAUGCAAUCAAUCAUAGAAAUCAGUGUCACAAUCAAUCACUAAGCUUUAUGUUACAGACCCCUGAUGUAAGUUUCUCCAUUAAGACAAGGUCAUGUAUCUUCAACCCUGGACCCCGUAACAUAAAGCUUUGUAAUUGAUCAUAAGGCUGAUAUCUAUGAUUGAUCAUACACAAUAAUCAAUGCAUUCAAUCGUAGAAAUCAGCCAAAUGAUCGAUUGCUAAGCUUUAUGUUACAGGUCCCAGCUCAAUUAUUACUGCCCAGCGCCCUGUUGCACAAAAUUACCAUAAUAGUAACUUUCAUGCAAUGGGGGCCCAGAAUCAACUGAAGUUCAAGGUUCUCCUUUUUAAAAGAUAGCAAACCAAAGACCAUUAUCAUUCAAUGUAAUCAUUAUUCCCUUCUUUAAAACAAAAUGAUUUGUCGUAAAUAAGUCUGUGUUCUGGUUUCCAUUUCAAGACUUGCUAUGAUACAUUUGCACGAUUUCUCUUAACAAAUUUACUAUCAGCCAGUCAGAUUGAAGGAUAUCAGUAGCAUUUAACUGUCAGUGUAAAUUGUUAUUGUAACAAGUUUUAUGAAAUGGGUCCCAGAUAUGUUUUGGCAAAGCUUAGCAACAUAAAGUUCCCUUUCAUUUUUACUUUGUUUCAAACUAAUUCAUAUCAAAUAAAUACAGUCAACUGAAUAGAAAAAUCAGUACAAUGAAUAAGAAGUGCUUGCACCUCAUACUACGGUUAUAAUAAUAAUAAUGUUUUAUUUACCCAGGGUAA